AUUGAACGCUGGCGGCAGGCUUAACACAUGCAAGUCGAGCGGGGUGAUGGUGCUUGCACUAUCACUUAGCGGCGGACGGGUGAGUAAUGCUUAGGAAUCUGCCUAUUAGUGGGGGACAACAUCUCGAAAGGGAUGCUAAUACCGCAUACGUCCUACGGGAGAAAGCAGGGGAGCACUUGUGAUAUUGCGCUAAUAGAUGAGCCUAAGUCGGAUUAGCUAGUUGGUGGGGUAAAGGCCUACCAAGGCGACGAUCUGUAGCGGGUCUGAGAGGAUGAGCCGCCACACUGGGACUGAGACACGGCCCAGACUCCUACGGGAGGCAGCAGUGGGGAAUAUUGGACAAUGGGGGGAACCCUGAUCCAGCCAUGCCGCGUGUGUGAAGAAGGCCUUAUGGUUGUAAAGCACUUUAAGCGAGGAGGAGGCUCUUUUGGUUAAUACCCAAGAUGAGUGGACGUUACUCGCAGAAUAAGCACCGGCUAACUCUGUGCCAGCCGCCGCCGUAA
rnacentral:rRNA from 1 species